ensembl:misc_RNA
UGGAGCCUUAAACAGCUCUGAGUAAGCUAACAAAAUAAGAUUCUGGUGCUGAAAAGCUGAGUAUGUGACCCUGAUCAUUA